rnacentral:rRNA from 1 species
AUUGAACGCUGGCGGCAUGCCUUACACAUGCAAGUCGAACGGCAGCACGGGUGCUUGCACCUGGUGGCGAGUGGCGAACGGGUGAGUAAUACAUCGGAACGUACCUUAUCGUGGGGGAUAACGCAGCGAAAGCUGUGCUAAUACCGCAUACGCCCUGAGGGGGAAAGCGGGGGAUCACAAGACCUCGCGCGAUUAGAGCGGCCGAUGCCUGAUUAGCUGGUUGGUGGGGUAAAAGCCCACCAAGGCGACGAUCAGUAGCUGGUCUGAGAGGACGAUCAGCCACACUGGGACUGAGUCACGGCCCAGACUCCUACGGGAGGCAGCAGUGGGGAAUUUUGGACAAUGGGGGCAACCCUGAUCCAGCAAUGCCGCGUGAGUGAAGAAGGCCUUCGGGUUGUAAAGCUCUUUUGUCAGGGAAGAAACACCGGCUCUAACACAGUCUGGGAAUGACGGUACCUGAAGAAUAAGCACCGGCUAACUACGUGCCAGCCGCCGCGGUAA